GGGUCAGAGGAAGAUCCUGCAGCUUCUCCACCAUGGCCUGGACCCCUCUCUUGCUCCCCCUCCUCACUCUCUGCACAGGUUCCGUGGCCUCUUCUGAAGUGACUCAGCCCCCAGCCGUGUCUGUGAGCCCGGGACAGACAGCCAGGAUCACCUGCCAGGGAGAGCUCAUAAGGAGAUAUUAUCCUGCCUGGUUGCAGCAGAAGCCAGGCCAGGCACCCAUGCUGCUCAUCUAUGGUGACACGAAUCGGACUUCAGUGAUCCCUGACCGAUUCUCUAGUUCUCACUCAGGGGACACGAACACCCUGACCAUCAGCAGUGCCCGGGCUGAGGACGAGGCUGACUAUUACUGUGCAGUGUGGAACAAAAACAGUAAAACUCACAGUGACACGGGCAGACGGGGAAUGGUCUUAGGAAAGACAGACAUGAUCACCUGCCCCGGAGAUUUACUGGAUGAAAAAUAA